AUUGAACGCUGGCGGCAGGCCUAACACAUGCAAGUCGAGCGGCAGCGGGAAAGUAGCUUGCUACUUUUGCCGGCGAGCGGCGGACGGGUGAGUAAUGCCUGGGAAAUUGCCCAGUCGAGGGGGAUAACAGUUGGAAACGACUGCUAAUACCGCAUACGCCCUACGGGGAAAGCAGGGGACCUUCGGGCCUUGCGCGAUUGGAUAUGCCCAGGUGGGAUUAGCUAGUUGGUGAGGUAAUGGCUCACCAAGGCGACGAUCCCUAGCUGGUCUGAGAGGAUGAUCAGCCACACUGGAACUGAGACACGGUCCAGACUCCUACGGGAGGCAGCAGUGGGGAAUAUUGCACAAUGGGGGAAACCCUGAUGCAGCCAUGCCGCGUGUGUGAAGAAGGCCUGG
rnacentral:rRNA from 1 species